UGGGGAAUAUUGGACAAUGGGCGAAAGCCUGAUCCAGCCAUGCCGCGUGUGUGAAGAAGGUCUUCGGAUUGUAAAGCACUUUAAGUUGGGAGGAAGGGCAGUUACCUAAUACGUGAUUGUUUUGACGUUACCGACAGAAUAAGCACCGGCUAACUCUGUGCCAGCAGCCGCGGUAAUACAGAGGGUGCAAGCGUUAAUCGGAAUUACUGGGCGUAAAGCGCGCGUAGGUGGUUAGUUAAGUUGGAUGUGAAAUCCCCGGGCUCAACCUGGGAACUGCAUUCAAAACUGACUGACUAGAGUAUGGUAGAGGGUGGUGGAAUUUCCUGUGUAGCGGUGAAAUGCGUAGAUAUAGGAAGGAACACCAGUGGCGAAGGCGACCACCUGGACUGAUACUGACACUGAGGUGCGAAAGCGUGGGGAGCAAACAGG
rnacentral:rRNA from 4 species